UCAUUAUCGAUUAAUCUGACGAGUAUUUUACUGAUUAAAACAAUUCAUCGUUUGGUCUAAAGGAAAUAGUAAAAAAAUGUCCAGCCAAAAGUGAUGCCAUCAAAUUCUUUAUGUUCCAAAAUACAUUGUUAAUUAUAACAUUAGACAAGAAAAGCUGCAAAUUGAGAAAAUGAAACAGGGUCAUGUUUGACAUUUUUUUCUAAUUCAUUAUCAAAAAUAGUCACCUAAUAUUUUUGUGUCGAUCAACUAUUGGAUUAAUCAACUCUAGUUGAUAAUAAUCCCUCAUUACAUGGGAAAGGUAUGUGCACAUAUGUAAUAUGAUAAAGCGUAUAAGUUGAAGCAGUAGUUUUGGUAUUAUUUUAAUGUUCACCUUCGUUUUUUCUUCCUAACUGAUGAAUGAAAAAAAGACCCAAGUUCUAAUAAACCGGUAUGAUCCUUUAAGUAAGUAAUACAGAGGACACACCGCAGACUACCAACUCACAUUCACGCACACUCCCAAACCUCCAUGCAGGAAGCAUGUAGCAAAGGAACAGGAACUGAUGCUGGGGUAUUAACCAAAACACAGACAUCAUUAUUGCCUCAUUUCAACAGUACAACACACACAUACAAUACACACGUUGCAACCUGCAAAACAACCGCCUUUCCAUACAUUGGAUUUAUUCCAAAAAUAUAUAUAAUGUUUAUAUAUACUGUUUACAUUUAUAUUACGUUUACAUAUUACCAAGAAGAAUAGCCACAACCUAAUACAGGUUUAAAUUUCACAAAUAUUACAUUAAACAGCUCUGAGGGUGAUAUGAAUUAGUAUGUGCACAUCAGUGUUUUUUUUGCAUGUGUGUAUACAUGUGUCUGUGCUUUCUUUGUAUCUGCAUACCUCUCCUUUGACCUGAAGAUGCACGCUGUACCUCAGACAGAGCUUAAACACACACACACACACACACACACACACACACGUCUACACACAUGGAUACAACAGCACACACACCUCUAAACUACCGGAAUCUGUCAGAGGUUUGCGGAGGAAGUGACACAUAAUGCUCUAAAAUCUGAUGCUCCAAAUUAACAAAAAGAGAGCAUUUAUGUUCCACAUGAUCAAAGCAAAGAAAUCUUACUUGGACUGAGAAAUUAUUCCAGUAGCAUGUAUGAAAAAAA